AUGGCUCAUGUUCCCCCAAGUGAAGAUUCACGUCCACGCCGACAAGUGCGCCAACCAAGAUGGAUGGAAGAUUAUGAAGGGUACACACACCCACAGGCUGGGAGCUAUCCACUACGCACCUCUGCUGCAAUAGAGGAGACCGACUGGAGCAGAAGCAGAGAGGGAUUUGUCGAGAUGACACCCCUCACCCAGCAUCCACUACAGCCCACUCAUUAUCCUGCUGAGUUCAUAGAGACAUCUUCCAGUCACAUUGGAGCCACAGCACCGGUGUAUGUGAGUACGUCACGGUCAUAUGAGGGCCCACCUGUAAUGAUGAAUAUGUUGCAGCAAAUACAAGAGGAUAAUAGGAGAUUGCAGCUGAUGGUGAGAGAUAUGAGACGUCAGAUGGACAGGAGCAGUGCAGCACCUCCCAGUUUACAGCCUGCACAGCUGGACCAUCCACAAGAGAGUCACCCCCCUGUAAUAAGAGAGGGCACCAGGGCCCCAACGGCACCACCCCCUAUGCUGCAUCCAACACCUGGAACACGUCAUCCACAACCAGGAGACCAGGCCAGCCGGCCAAUGCCACCACCCCACCUACCAGCCCAACCACCGCCUCCACCAAGGGAGCUGCACCACCUGCCUGCAGUACAGGACAGGUAUUUAGCAGACGAUGAUUGGCCGCCGCCUCCCCCACCAGUAGCCUUCUCUGAUGACAAUUAUGAGCAACCUACUGAUAUUGUAGAGAACCUUAGAGAACGUCUGCAGCAGCUGGAAGCACGACUGUCACCAGCUCCAUCCAUGAUGUCCGAACCACCAUAUGAUAGUGUGCUGCCGUCAGUUGCACCCCCACAACCCCCCCAACGGCUAACCUCAGUGACACUGCCUAACAGUAAUGAGAGGACAUACAGGGGACCGACACCAUCAAUCCCAAAGUUCACACGUGGUGACCCCAGAGAGUUCUCCAGACUGAAGCUUGCCCUUGACAAUAUUCUUCCCGCUGAUGCGACAGAGAUGUUCAAGUAUCAAGUGCUCUGUGAUCACCUCAAGUUUGAAGAGGCUCUCCUGAUAGCUGAUUCCUAUAGCAAUUCCUUAUUCCCCUGCUCUGACACUAUGGCUUCCUUGACCAAACACUACGGUCAGCCCCACCAGUUAUCUCUACGGCGGAUUGCAGAACUCAUGGAGGAGCCCACUAUCCGAGCUGGCGACACUGUAGCAUUCAGGAGGUUUGCUCUGAGAGUUCGAGCUCUGGUCGGGAUGUUGGAGCAGCUAGGUGAAGACGGGCGUAUAGAGUUAAAGUGUGGGUCUCACGUGGCCAGAUUAAUGAAGAAGCUUCCCCAGGAUCUCCGUGCCACCUUCCGGCGUCACCUUCACUCUUGGAAAGCAGGAAUCCCAUCAUUGAUGGACUUUGCGGAGUGGCUGGACUAUGAGCUGGAAAUCCAAGAGGACGGAGAUCAGUUCGACAAGAUAGAGGAUGUCCAGAAAGGGAGAAGCGGGGUGAGGAAGGAGUGUGAUAAGGAUAAGAGAGCCACUAAGAAGACCAUGAAUGUGUUGCAUGGUACUGCCAAUAACACAACCCCCCAAGCAGGGCAAGCUGAAGUCUCAGAUCACCAAGAGACCAUGGAUAAGCUCAAAGCUUAUUGCCCCUACUGCAGCAAUACGCAACACUUCCUGGACCAGUGCUUGAACUUCAAGCAAUUAACCAAGGAGCAGAAGAUGACCUGGGUGAAGUCCAAUAAUCGCUGCUGGCGUUGUGGACGGCACCAUCAGGCCGCCCAGUGUAGAUUGAGAGUCCUAUGCAAGACGUGCAAGGGGAAGCACCUUGAGGCCUUGCAUGAAGUGAAUCUCCGGCCUGGCAAGAGUGAGCAUACUGCAGGGAACGGCACUAGUGCAGAGUUGAAGUCAGCGACAGAUGUUUUGUAUCUGGAUCGACGUGCCGGCUGCAAUCAGGUCCUUUUGAAGGUCAGCAAGGUGCUACUACGUAACGGUGACCACACCCUGGAGACAUAUGCAAUCUUAGAUGAUGGCUCAGAGAGAACAAUUCUACUCCAGGAGGCCGUCCAGAGGCUGCAGCUUCAGGGGACUCCCGAGAGCCUCACCCUGAGAACUGUUCGUCAAGAUGCGAGAACACUACAUGGCUCAUCAGUAAUGUUCAAAAUCUCUCCGACCGGUCAGCCAACAAAGACAUUUACUAUUGAGAGAGCCUUCACUGCAGGUGGACUAGGUCUAGCUGAACACUCUUACCCAGUGAAGGGACUUCAGCGCAGAUAUAAGCACCUCAAGAAGCUCCCCCUGCAGCCAUUCACAAAUGUUCACCCACUCCUCUUGAUAGGUUCCGACUGUCCGCACCUUGUGACACCUAUUGAACCUGUCCGUCUCGGCCCGUCGGGGAGCCCAGCUGCGGUAAAGACCAGGCUUGGCUGGACACUGCAAGGGCCAGUCAAGUCUUUUCAACAAUGCAACCGCCCACAGCAGUGUCUAUUCGUGACCUCUACCUCCCCUACAGCUGAACUCUUUAAUCAGGUAGAAAAGCUCUGGCAACUGGACACCCUGCCAUACAGAAACGAGAAGCUGGUGACGAGGUCACGGAGAGACCAAGAGGCCAUGAACCUUCUAGAGGCAAAGACUAGGAGAGUGGAGGUGGAUGGAGUCCUCAGAUACGCUACCCCACUGUUACGGGUGAGUAACAUGCCUAUACUCACAGCGCCGCCUGAAGCGGUGCUCCCCAGUCUACGCAGCACGGAGAAGCGUCUCGGCAGAGACCCGGUGAAGGCACAGGCAUAUCAGGCGGAGAUUAUGAAGUUGGAGAAGUCAGGCUAUGCUUCCAGAAUUAGUCAGGAGCAGGUGAAGGAUUCCAAGGAGUCGUGGUUUAUUCCCCAUCACCUGGUGACACACAACGGAAAAAACCGAAUCGUGUUCAACUGUUCUUACACCUAUAGGGAUAAGAACCUCAACGAGCUGCUGCUGCCAGGCCCAAACCUGGGUGCAUCUCUCCUGGGUGUCCUACUGCGGUUUAGGGAACAUUCAAUUGCUGUCAGCAGUGACAUAAAGGGAAUGUUCCACCAGGUGAGGUUGCUGCCUGAAGAUCGCCCUCUGUUGCGCUUCCUCUGGCGUGAUCUACAGAGAGACUCCCAACCUAGUGUAUAUGAGUGGCAGGUCCUUCCCUUCGGGACUACUUGUUCCCCAUGCUGUGCCAUAUACGCAUUACAGAGGCAUGUACACGAUCACACCCACACAGGGGAUACAGUUCGUGAGUCUAUCGAGAACCACUUCUAUGUGGACAACUGGCUACAGAGCUUCCCAACUCCAGACAUGGCCAAAGAUGUCACAGACAAGCUGAGGGGGCUGUUAAUGGAGGGUGGCUUCGAACUGCGACAGUGGGCCAGCAACAUGCCAAAUGUUAUUGGCCACCUGCCCAAGGAGAUCAGGUCAGAGAGUAGUGAACAGUUGCUAAAUCACACAAACAUGGACCCACAAGAACCUGCCCUGGGGCUGCGUUGGUUAUGCCACUCGGAUACGCUGCAGUAUAAGUCACGGCCGAUGGAGCGCCUCCCGCCCACCAUGAGGAACAUCUAUAAGGUAUUGGCCAGCCAAUAUGACCCCAUAGGAUUUCUCAUGCCCUAUACUACAAGGGCCAAAGUGCUUGUUCAGCAGUUAUGGGACAAAAAGCGGGAGUGGGACGAUCCUCUGCUACCCGGUGAAUUGCUCACGGCGUGGCAAGACUGGGAAAACGAACUACAAUAUCUGGACAACAUCAGACUGCCUCGCUGCUACGUGAGUCCAGCCAUGGACAAUGCAGCCAGUAAGCGGGAGGUCCACAUCUUCUGUGAUGCGUCUCAACGUGCGUAUGGUAGUGUGGGAUAUCUCCGCACAGAAGACACAGAGGGUAAUGUGGAGGUAGCAUUCCUGACAGCCCGGUCCAGAGUGGCCCCUAAGCGUCAGCUCUCCAUGCCGCGGUUGGAGCUGUGUGCUGCGCUCACGGGCGCACAGCUUGCAGACGUGCUUACUCGAGAGCUCACAGUGGCGAUAUCGAGAGUGGUUAUGUGGACAGACUCCACAACUGUUCUUGCCUGGAUCCAAUCGGACUCUUGUCGCUUUAAGGUGUUUGCAGGAACCCGUAUUGCAGAAAUUCAAGAGCUGACUGAUAGCCAGGCCUGGCGCUAUGUGGAGACGUCAGAGAACCCAGCAGAUGACCUCACCCGGGGAAAAUCCCUGCAGGAUCUCUCAGGUGAAAAUCGUUGGAUCCAUGGACCCCUGUUCCUGCAGCUACCACCCAACAAGUGGCCAGUGCAUCCAGCCCCAACAAGCGAAGACAUCACUGAGGAGCUGCGAAGGCCCACCACCUGCCUGGUUAGCACGGUAAAUGGCACCCACCAUUCCUUACCUGAUGCUCAGCAGUUUAGCACCUUCAGUGACCUGGUGAAGGCGACUGCGGGGUACCUUCAUGGGGCGGCUGCUGAUGCUAAAGGGACUCCUACAGCAGAGGAAUUCAAGGAAGCGGAACUCAGCAUCCUGCGGUCCGCACAAAGAGAUAGCUUCUCAGAAGAAGUUCAGUGUCUGGCAGCUGGAAAACAAGUCCCUUCCUCCAGCUGCUUAAUCACGCUGGCUCCAGAAUAUGAUGCAUCAUUCCAACUGAUACGAGUAGGAGGUCGGCUGCGGCGUUGCCAGGAUCUGGAGGACGAUGUGAUCCACCCUAUAGUCCUCGACCCAAGACAUGCUGUGACCAAGCUGCUCAUCCGACAGGUUGACCAAGACCUGAAACACCCUGGUGCAGAGCGACUCUUUGCAGAGCUGAGGAGGAAGUUCUGGAUCCUUCGUGGCCGGGAGGCCAUAAGAAGAGAGCAGCGCUCAUGCUCGGAGUGUCAGAGGUGGAGAGCCCAACCUGUCAACCCUAAGAUGGCAGACUUGCCCCCUGCACGGCUCAGGUUACAUCAACCAGCCUUCUACUCUACGGGGAUUGAUUGUUUUGGUCCAAUGCAGGUAAAAAUCGGCCGACGGAACGAGAAACGCUGGGGCUUGCUCUUCAAAUGCCUCACGACGCGAGCAGUCCAUAUUGAAGUGCUGUCCAGCAUCAACACGGACUCCUUCCUGAUGGCCUUAAGGAGGUUCAUAUCCCGUCGUGGGAAACCAGCAGAGUUGCUCUCGGACCAGGGCACCAAUUUUAGAGGUGGAGAUAGGGAAUUACAAGAAGCCUUUCAAACCCUUCAUCCUUCUCUCCAAGCCCAGCUGGCAGAGUACCAUAUAAAGUUUUGUUUCAACCCGCCUAGUGCCCCCCAUUUUGGAGGCUCCUGGGAGCGGGAAAUCAGGUCGAUCAAGGCUGCUCUGACUGCUACCCUGGGGUCACAGGUUGUCAGUGGUGAAGUUCUGACCACUGUCCUGAUUGAGAUUGAGGGUAUCCUCAAUUCCAAGCCCCUCGGCUAUGUAUCAUCCGACGUGGCAGACCCGGACCCGGUCACCCCCAAUCUGUUGCUGAUGGGGCGGCCAGACCCUUCGCUACCUCAGGCAGUGUAUCAUGACUCAGAGCUGCUCAGCCGUCGCCAGUGGAGGGCCUGUCAAGUGCUGUCCGAUCGCUUCUGGGUGCGGUUCCUGCGCCACUACCUGCCCACACUGCAAACCCGAUCCAAGUGGCAGUCGGACACCUCCCCUCUUCAGCUGGAUACCAUCGUGAUGAUCGUCGAUCCUCAACUGCCACGAGCAUCAUGGCCUAUUGGAAAGAUCAAGAAGGUGUUCCCUGGAGCCGAUGGACUGAUUCGCACAGCGGAGGUCACAGUACGGGACCGCACCUAUGUCCGACCUGUAAGCCGUCUUAUCAGACUCCCUGCUGUACCAGAAGAAAAUUGA
rnacentral:lncRNA from 1 species